CACCACUAGCCUCGGCCGCGCAUGGCUGUCACUUACUCGCUACAACUGACGCCGGACGCAUCGCUGAUCACUACUACUGGCACAGGCGGACCAGAGCGCCGUUUACUACUAACGUCGCCGCACCGAACGAAUGAUCAGUGACUACGGCUGCCACUUGCUGCCCCGGAACUGCCUUGUUACCGAGCCUCGGAUUAACCCCUGACAGGCAAUGAGGGUAAAAUUCCUCCCCCCAACCCCCUCGCAAAAAAAAAAAAAAUAAAAAAUAUUGGACUGAACUUUAAUUUAUAAAAAAAAAAUUUCACUAGCUUAAUCAGAGGCUGAGAUAUUUGAAAUUAAUUUCCCCUGGGUAUUUUUUACACUCGUUGCCACGAAAGGUAUACGGUUUGGAUGUUUUCCUGUCAGGGGUUAAUAUGUACAUGAUCACCACCUACAUCGAAAUCCGACGGCUACUCACGGAUCAGAGACCCGAAGCUUUUCAAAAAUUAAAACACAUCACCCCCCCGAGCAUCGGUGGUAUACGACUACGGGGGGUGUGGAAAAUCUGAGAGCGUGUACCGAGACAGAGAAGAAUAACUUAUUACUCACCGUCCGGAGGAAGGAGACGUCAUCCUGCUCGGAGCCACCCUCGCUGUCCGCCAUCCUCCAAGCAGCAGCAGCGGCAGAGUUCUUCCUCGAAUCGUGAUAAUUUUCGGUUUAUUCGACAAUCUUCCCUGCGGCGUAUAAUGAACUCGGCGGGGGUAUAUCAGUGAACGGCGAGACGACGUUCGAGCAUGUUCGUCGCGUGGUCGAUGCGCGGCUUGCGGACGCUGAACGCCGGCACCAAACUCCGUCGCGACGACGACUGACGCACUCGCUCUGUCUCGUCUCGACGAGGGUCCUCGGGUUACAGGUAGCGGCAGAUUGCCCGGAGAUCAGCGCAGGCUCGAGAGGACAGGGAACGAGAUUUUCGUCUCCGAGGAUUCGCACGAUUGUUGGGAUGUAGAAUUGUUCCGAAAAAUUCUUAGUUUGGAUAAAACAAACUGUAAAAAAAAUUAAAUAAAUAAAUAAAUAAUUUCAAAA